GACGAACGCUGGCGGCGUGCUUAACACAUGCAAGUCGAACGGUGAAGCCCUUCGGGGUGGAUCAGUGGCGAACGGGAGAGUAACACGUGCGCAACCUGCCCCUGCCCCUGGGACAACGACAGGAAACGGUAGCUAAUACCGGUUACGGACCGGCUCGGCUUCGACAGUGGGUGGGAAGUUUUGCGGCUGGGGUUGGGCUCGCGGCCUAUCAGCUUGUUGGUGUGGGGGAGGCUCACCAAGGCGACGACGGGUAGCCGGCCUGAGAGGGCGACCGGCCACACUGGGACUGAGACACGGCCCAGACUCCUACGGGAGGCAGCAGUGGGGAAUAUUGCACAAUGGGCGGAAGCCUGAUGCAGCGACGCCGCGUGAGGGAUGACGGCCUUCGGGUUGUAAACCUCUUUCAGCUCCGAAGAAGCGAAAGUGACGGUAGGAGCAGAAGAAGCACCGGCUAACUACGUG
rnacentral:rRNA from 1 species